rnacentral:rRNA from 1 species
UACAGAGGGUGCGAGCGUUGUCCGGAAUCACUGGGCGUAAAGGGCGCGUAGGUGGCGCUCCAAGUCCGUGGUGAAAGCUCGAUGCUCAACAUCGAGUCGGCCACGGAGACUGGAGGGCUCGAGCACUGUAGGGGCAGAUGGAAUUCCGGGUGUAGCGGUGGAAUGCGUAGAGAGUCCGGAAGAACACCGGUGGCGAAGGCGGCAUCCUGGACCAACACUGACGCUGAGGAGCGAAAGCCAGGGGAGCAAACGGGAUUAAGAUGACCCCAGU